CUCAGUUUCUUCUACUUUAUCAGUGAUGAAGGUCAUGGAGGAAGACACGCACACUGAAACAGGAGAAAAGAGAAAGGAAUUUCACAACCUUCAGAAAGAAGAAAAAAAAUCCAGUACUGCUUCUCAUUUAAAAGAUACGUACACAAUUAAAUGCAUUUUGACUUCAA